rnacentral:rRNA from 1 species
AAUGAACGCUGGCGGCGUGCCUAAUACAUGCAAGUCGAGCGAACGCACGAGGAGCUUUUUCUUUUACCGUUAGCGGGGGACGGGCGAGUAACACGUGGAUAACCAUCUUAUAAUUCUGGGAUAAUUUCGGGAAACCGCAGCCACUACCGGCUAAUAUUUCGUACCGCUUGGUUCAAGAGUUAAAGGGGCCUUUGCUAUUUCUUAUAGAUGGACUCGGGCCGGAUUAGCUAGUUGGUAAGGUAACGGCUUACCAAGGCAACGAUACGUAGCCGACCUGAGAGGAUGAUCGGCCACACUGGAACUGAGACACGGUCCAGACUCUUACGGGAGGCAGCAGUAGGGAAUCUUCCGCAAUGGGCGAAAGCCUGACGGAGCAACGCCGCGUGGGUGAUGAAGGUCUUCGGAUCGUAAAACUCUGUUAUUAGGGAAGAACAAACGUGUAAGUAACUGUGCACGUCUUGACGGUACCUAAUCAGAAAGCCACGGCUAACUUCGUG